GAGCGGCCUCCCAGAAAACCAGAGCUGCUACAGGAGGUAAGGGAUGGGUUUGAGAUUGUGCUUCACUGCACUCUUACUCGUGAAAAUUCUUCUGGGUUAUGUUUUCUCUGUUCUCUUCCCUGUUUCUUUCACUGUGUUUUUACUCCAGAAUUCUCAGUAUUAGUCUCCCAUGUGUCUCCCUUGUUGUCCCCACACCCUGUGUCACCCCACUCUGUCCUGGCUUCCUAUAAUUCCCAAUUCCCACCCAAUUCAUGUUUUGCUUCUGGCCCUUCUCAUCUGUAGGAAUCUUUGCCACCUCCUCAUAGCUCUGGAUUCUUGGGCUCUAAGCCUGAGGGCCCAGGCCCUCAGGCAGAGUCCAGAGAUACAGGCACAGAGGCCCUGACCCCUCACAUCUGGAACCGUUUACAUACUGCCACUAGCCGAAAGAGUUACCGGCCCAGCUCCAUGGAGCCUUGGAUGGAGCCCCUGAGUCCUUUUGAGGAUGUGGCUGGCACAGAAGUGAGUGAGGGUGGGAGGGUGUGUCUGAGCUGGGACUUUUUUGAGCACUGGUCAUACUCCCCCACCUGCUCUGGGUUGAGUCUGGAGCUGUUCUCUCACUUGGCUGUCCCUUUUCUGCAGUUUGUAUGUGUGCAUCAGUCAGGUAUUGGGGUGCUUUCUACCCUGACUUAACUAGCUCCUUCUCCACUCCUCUCAGAUGA
rnacentral:sRNA from 1 species